rnacentral:rRNA from 1 species
AAGAAAAAAUUUAAUUAUAUUUAUGGUUUUAUAAUUAUUUAAUAUAAAUAAAUUUAAAUUUAAAAGUUUUUGUAUAGUUUAAAGAUAAAAUAAUUUAGUUUAUAAUGAAUUAGUAUUGAGAAAGAAAAUUGAAAAAUUUUUUUGUUUAUUAAAAAGUAGUAUUGAUUUUAUGUACCUUUUGUAUCAGGGUUUAUUAAAUAAGAGUAAAAAAUUUUAUGUUCUCGAAUUUAAAGGAGCUAAAUUAGUAGAAUAGUUUUUGUGUUAUAAAAAUUAUAAAUAUUAAUUUAGAAAUGAAAUGUUAUUCGUCUUUAAAGAUAUCUAGUUUUUUAAGAAAUAAAUUUAAUUUAUAUAUUAAUUAAUUAAUUUUUUAAUUUUUAAAUUAAUUAAUAAUUAAUAUAAAUAUAUCAAGGGAUAAGCUUUGAUUUAUUAAAAUUAUAAUUAUAUUAUAUAUUUAAUUAAUUGUAGAUUUAGAAAUAGUUAUCAAUAAAAAAUUUGUAUUAAUUUAUAAAUUUUUAAAAAAUAUUUAGUAAAAUUUAAUUAUAGUAUUAAAAUGUAGAUUUUAAUUUUUAAAAUUUAGUAAUAAUGAUAAAAUUAGUAUAGUAAAAUUGUUUGAAUAUAAUUUAUAAUAAAGUUAUUUUAAGGAAUUCGGCAAAAAUAAUGUUCACCUGUUUAACAAAAACAUGUCUUUUAGAUUAUAAUUUAAAGUCUAACCUGCCCACUGAAUUUAUUUGAAGGGCCGCGGUAUUUUGACUGUGCAAAGGUAGCAUAAUCAUUAGUCUUUUAAUUGAAGGCUUGUAUGAAUGGUUGGAUGAAACAUUAACUGUCUCAAUUUAAUAAAAUUAGAAUUUAAUUUUUAAGUUAAAAAGCUUAAAUUAAAUUAGAGGACGAGAAGACCCUAUAGAUCUUUAUAAUUAAUUAUUUAUUAUUAAUAUAGAAAAUUAAUUAAUGUUAUUUAAUAAAUUAUUUUAUUGGGGUGAUAAAUAAAUUUAGGAAACUUUAUUUUAUAAAAACAUUUAUUUAUGAAUAUUUGAUCCAUUAUUAAUGAUUAAAAGAUUAAGUUACCUUAGGGAUAACAGCGUAAUUUUUUUAGAGAGUUCUUAUCGAUAAAAAAGUUUGCGACCUCGAUGUUGAAUUAAAGGUUAAUUUUAGGUGCAGAAGUUUAAAGUUUUGGUCUGUUCGACCAUUAAAUCUUUACAUGAUUUGAGUUCAAACCGGCGUGAGCCAGGUUGGUUUCUAUCCUUAAUAAAAUAAAAUAUUUUAGUACGAAAGGACCAAAUAUUUAAAAAAUUUUUUAAAACUAGAAUAAUAUUAAU